CCAGAAGAAAUUAAGAAAACAUAUAAAGUCAAUCAUGAAGUGGAUUUGACCUUUGGACGAUUAACCUGUUGGCGCCAAUCAAACAACAAGAUAUACCUUUACCUCGGCUUCUACAACACUUAUUUUACUUUCCGUUUGCCCUUGAGUAUAAAGAUAACAGUGUGAAAUUCUUCCCGAGUGCUUCUGGCCUAUUGAGGACAGCUCGCCUCACAUGUUGAGAUCUGGGGUGAAGCAGGUGCUGUUUUUGUAAAGGGCUCCAUGCACAUAAAUGAGAGCAUCUAGUUUUAGAUGUUGGCACACUUGUUGGCUGCAUUGCCUACUGAAGUUACAUGUCCAAACAGAGGGAGAACAAUGUGCUGCUGGUCACAACAUGGAUUUUAUUAUUAGCUUUCUUUUAUACAGAUUAAAUAUAUUUUGUUAACGUCAGUUUUUUUUCUCUCUCUCUUUCUUUAUGCUACUAGGAAAUAUUACCAAUUAAAAUUAUGAAAAUUCAAAUUGUCCACAUAUUCACAAACCAUUUGUCCUCAAAUGUAAAGGAAAACUGUAAAGUUUCAGUUUGAUUGAAUCCUUAAAAUAACCAUAUUCAUCCAAUAUGGUAUCAUUUAAAGGGAGAGCAUAGUUGGUUUCCUCCCCUUCACGUCUCCAUUCUCAGCUGUUCAGGGUUGACUCCACCUUCAAUCAUCUGCCUAUCAUUAACCUGCUCAUCACCUUGAAUUACAUCUACAUUUUCCAGCACACACACACACAGUUUUGAACUAAAUAAGAUGAAUUUGGUAAUUAAAAGUGUGUCUCAAGGCUUUGCAUUUUUUCAGAUGCAAGGACUCAAGGAACCCCAGAGCUCUUCUGUUUAAAGGUCUCAAGCCUUACACACUCAACAGAAUGGAGAGGAUACUUGAUGCAGCGUGGAAGACGUUUAGAGGACACACUUUGGUCCAUCAGAGAUGCACCCUUUAUAUUUGGUAGACACCGUGACUGCAACGAUCUACCAACGAAAGUUUUGGGUUUCAUUCAUGCAAGAAAUAGUAAAUAAUGUGAACUACAGGUAAUGACAUCAAGAAGCACAGAGUCAAACCAAACAAGUCUUUUAGAAAGAUGCAAGCGAGAGCUUCAUUCUUCAUCAUGCCCUUUCUGUGUGGGGGAGAGAGAAGAGAAAGAAGUUUGGAAGGAUCCUGUUGGGGAAGCCCUUUCUGCAGAUUCUGAUGCCCUCCAGCACACCGUUACAGCGCAGCUGGUGCAUGACCAGAGGAUUCUCCAUCGCCCCAGGAGUCUUAGUCUCAUUGGGGAUGAUGCAGCGCACAAA